rnacentral:rRNA from 1 species
GGCGGCGUGCCUAAUACAUGCAAGUCGAGCGGAGCNACGGUUUCCUUCGGGAAANCAUUAGCUUAGCGGCGGACGGGUGAGUAAUACGUAGGUAACCUGCCCUUAAGACUGGGAUAACUCACGGAAACGUGGGCUAAUACCGGAUAGUCGAUUUCCUCGCAUGAGGGAAUCGGGAAAGGCGGAGCAAUCUGCCACUUAUGGAUGGACCUACGGCGCAUUAGCUAGUUGGUGGGGUAACGGCUCACCAAGGCGACGAUGCGUAGCCGACCUGAGAGGGUGAUCGGCCACACUGGGACUGAGACACGGCCCAGACUCCUACGGGAGGCAGCAGUAGGGAAUCUUCCGCAAUGGACGCAAGUCUGACGGAGCAACGCCGCGUGAGUGAUGAAGGUUUUCGGAUCGUAAAGCUCUGUUGCCAGGGAAGAACGCUAUGGAGAGUAACUGUUCCAUAGGUGACGGUACCUGAGAAGAAAGCCCCGGCUAACUACGUGCCAGCAGCCGCGGUAAUACGUAGGGGGCAAGCGUUGUCCGGAAUUAUUGGGCGUAAAGCGCGCGCAGGCGGUCAUGUAAGUCUGGUGUUUAAACCCGGGGCUCAACUCCGGGUCGCAUCGGAAACUGUGUGACUUGAGUGCAGAAGAGGAAAGUGGAAUUCCACGUGUAGCGGUGAAAUGCGUAGAGAUGUGGAGGAACACCAGUGGCGAAGGCGACUUUCUGGGCUGUAACUGACGCUGAGGCGC